ACACAGGAAGGCCAAGCUGUGCUGGAUGUGAAGUCCUGUGCUAAGGAACUUGGGUCUUUCUCUUCUCAGUGGAGAGAACGCAUAGGCGGCUUUCAAGUCCAGAGUGGCAGUUUGGAAGCAGAGUUUUGUCAGCAGCCUGGAGAGGAUAGUGGACUGUUACAAAGCUUCUACAACUGUCCAGGCUGUGGGCCUGAGGGCCUGAGCCAAGGUCAACCAGGAUGCUCGGAUAACCGAGAGGAAGGAUGCCAUGGAGAUGCCCCGCAUCUGCCCCACGUCUGUUACACAGGUUUGUGCUUCAGAAUCACCUGGGGUGGCACUUGGCUGAAGCCCCGGAGGAGACCCAAAGGCAGCUUCAGGUGAGCUCGCAGGAAACCAGCAGCGGAUGGACAUCAGAUGGAAGAUGUACAGAGCCAUCCACAGAUGGAGCCGGUUGCCUGAGGCCCAGGAAUCGUAGAGAGUUUACGUGCCAGCCUGAUGUGCAUGUUUGUGCGGCAGAAUGGAUGCUGCGUAUUUACAGCCCCCAAGAGUGCCUCCAGCCCCGAGCCUGCACUGUGUAGAAAGCAGGAGAACAGGCCUUGAACAGGAAAGCGACCCCUUGUUUCAAUCCGGCAUUCUCGGUUUCACACCUGAGCCGAACCUAAGGCAGAGGAGGAAUUGGUGGAACCACCCAAAGGGAGAUGCGGCCAAGGUCCUACCCCAAGAACCACCUGCUUUGAACAAGGGCC